rnacentral:piRNA from 1 species
UCCCACAAAACAGAUCUGUUACAUCAA